rnacentral:lncRNA from 1 species
GAACGGACGUUGACGUAGAGUGGCAACACCAAUGAUGAAUUGACAGCGAGAAGAGAGCUUGCUCUAGGCAAGCGGCUCUGAUACCAUGAUAGAAAUAAUAGAAGAUUAGAACAAUAAUUGAAGAAGCUUUAUUGUAGAAAUGAAAUAGCUUUAGCUUAAAUCUAUUAUUUCUAUGAUAGAAAUAAUAGAAGAUAAGAACAAUAAUGGAAGAAGCUUUAUUGUAGAAUUGAAAUAGCUUAGCUUGAAUACAUUAACAUGUUCUUCUCCUAUUUAUAGGAUUAGUAGGGAGGAUUUUCCUCAACAGAAUAGAGGAUUUUCCUCAAUAGAAUAGAUAAGAUUUCCUUAUGUAGUGGGGAAAUCUUAUCUUCUAUCAUGCCCCCGCAAGAUGGUGCUCCUGACAAGGAUACCAAUCUUGAAUCGAUGCAAAAUAUGAUUUACAAACGAGAUGCUUCAUGAGUAGAGCAAGAGCAUAUUGUUGCUACUGUUGUUGUUGCUACGGUUUCGACGGCGAUGGCUACGGCUGCAAUGGCAACGGUUGCGAUUACGACGGCGGCGGCUGCGAUUGCGACGGCUGUGACUGUGACUGCUACGGCUGUGACUGCGACGGCUACGGCUGUGACUGCGACGGCUACGGCUGUGAUGGCAAAGGAGAAAUCUACAACAAUGUUGCAGUGAUGCUACUACAGCAAAGGAGGAAGCUGCAUAAGAGGAAGUUGUAAUAGAGGAAGAAGCUGCAGCAGAAGAGGUAGGAGAAGCUGCAUAAGAGGAAGUUGCAACAGAGGAAGAAGCUGUAGCAGAAGAGGUAGGAGGUAGCUACAGCGAGGAAGAAAGGUGGGGAAGUGCUGGUGAGCACAGCACUAGAAACGCCGCAGUAGAAGGGAACAGACGUUAGCGCCGAGUGGCAGUGAAGAUGACAGUUGUCGUUCGCCGAGAAGGAAAGAUUUGUCGCACCGACUGCCAGGCCUGACGAUGGAAAAGCAAUGGUAGAAAGCUUGUUCUUUUGCCGUCGGAGAUAGUGAUGAGUCAGCAGCGAGAAUUGCCGUCGGAGAUAGUGAUGAGUCAGCAGCGAGAAUUGCCGUCGGAGAUAGUGAUGAGUCAGCAGCGAGAAGAGAGCUUGCUCUAGGCAAACGGCUCUGAUACCAUGAUAGAAAUAAUAGAAGAUAAGAACAAUAUAAUAUAAGAAGCUUUAUUGUAGAAAUGAAAUAGCUUUAGCUUGAAUACAUUAACAUGUUCCUAUCCUAUUUAUAGGAUUAAGAGGGAGGAUUUUCCUCAACAGAAUAGAGGAUUUUCCUCACAGAAUAGAUAAGAUUUCCUCAUAUAGUGGGGAAAUCUUAUUCUAUCAGAAAGGACGAGAGCUUAGCUCAGCUUUGGCUAAACCAAUCCAUCUCUCAACCACAG